GACGAACGCUGGCGGCGUGCUUAACACAUGCCAGUCGAACGGAAAGGCCCUGCUUUUGUGGGGUGCUCGAGUGGCGAACGGGUGAGUAACACGUGAGUAACCUGCCCUUGACUUUGGGAUAACUUCAGGAAACUGGGGCUAAUACCGGAUAGGAGCUCCUGCUGCAUGGUGGGGGUUGGAAAGUUUCGGCGGUUGGGGAUGGACUCGCGGCUUAUCAGCUUGUUGGUGGGGUAGUGGCUUACCAAGGCUUUGACGGGUAGCCGGCCUGAGAGGGUGACCGGCCACAUUGGGACGGAGAUACGGCCCAGACUCCUACGGGAGGCAGCAGUGGGGAAUAUUGCACAAUGGGCGGAAGCCUGAUGCAGCAACGCCGCGUGCGGGAUGACGGCCUUCGGGUUGUAAACCGCUUUCGCCUGUGACGAAGCGUGAGUGACGGUAAUGGGUAAAGAAGCACCGGCUAACUACGUG
rnacentral:rRNA from 1 species